CUCAGGAGGAAGGAAGGAAAAACAGCCACCUCUGGCCUCUGGCCUCUCCAGGCUCUCCACCCCGGGGGCAGAAUCAAUUCCGUAGCCCUCUAGCACCGGUAGUGGCUCCGCAGUCGGCUGGGCAGUGGCCGUGACUGGGUCACUCUACCGUAGGAAGUGAGCGCAGGGGCCGCUGGAGAGCUGGAGGCUGGCGGAGACUAUGUGAAGUUCUCCAAGGAGAAGUACAUCCUGGACUCAUCGCCAGAGAAACUCCACAAGGAAUUGGAGGAGGAGCUCAAACUCAGCAGCACGGAUCUCCGCAGCCAUGCCUGGUACCACGGCCGCAUCCCCCGAGAGGUCUCGGAGACCUUGGUACAACGCAACGGCGACUUCCUCAUCCGGGACUCACUCACCAGCCUGGGCGACUAUGUGCUCACAUGCCGCUGGCGCAACCAGGCCUUGCACUUCAAGAUCAACAAGGUGGUGGUGAAGGCAGGCGAGAGCUACACACACAUCCAGUACCUGUUUGAGCAGGAGAGCUUCGACCACGUGCCCGCCCUCGUGCGCUAUCACGUGGGCAGCCGCAAGGCUGUGUCAGAGCAGAGUGGUGCCAUCAUCUACUGCCCGGUGAACCGCACCUUCCCACUGCGCUACCUCGAGGCCAGCUAUGGCCUGGGACAGGGGAGUAGCAAGCCUGCCAGCCCUGUCAGCCCCUCAGGCCCCAAGGGCAGCCACAUGAAGCGGCGCAGCGUCACCAUGACCGAUGGGCUCACUGCCGACAAGGUCACCCGCAGCGAUGGCUGCCCCACCAGUACUUCGCUGCCCCGUCCUCGGGACUCCAUCCGCAGCUGUGCCCUCAGCAUGGACCAGAUCCCAGACCUGAACUCGCCCAUGUCGCCCAUCUCCGAGAGCCCUAGCUCCCCCGCCUACAGCACUG
rnacentral:sRNA from 1 species